UACGUAGGGACCAAGCGUUGUCCGGAAUCAUUGGGCGUAAAGCGCGCGUAGGUGGCCAUUUAAGUCCGCUGUGAAAGUCAGAGGCUCAACCUUUGAAAGCCGGUGGAUACUGGAUGGCUAGAGUACGGAAGAGGCGAGUGGAAUUCCUGGUGUAGCGGUGAAAUGCGCAGAUAUCAGGAGGAACACCAAUUGCGAAGGCAGCUCGCUGGGACGUUACUGACGCUGAGACGCGAAAGCGUGGGGAGCAAACAGG
rnacentral:rRNA from 1 species